ensembl:lncRNA
CACAACAAACAGGUCACACAUUUUCCGAAUGAGAGAUAAUCUCCAUUCCGUAGCUGUGAUGGAGAGCUGGAGAUUGAAGCUGAGAGGGAUCCCACAUAGGGAGUAUGGCGUAGGAGGAAGUGGUGGAAAAGGACAAGUGGUGUAUGCCCACGGGAACAGCUGAAAGUGAUUGCUCCUCAAGCUGUGGUUGUAGUUUAUAAAGCGCUUUCACACACAGCACCACAUUUUGCUCUCACAACAAUCCUGGGAAGUAUGGUUCACAUUUUAUGGGUGAUGAAUCUGAGACUCAGAGACGUUAAGUGACUUGUUCAAGGUCACAGAGCUGUCAACUGCAUUGGAGUUUGGGGGAUAAGAUUGUGCAUCCAUCAUAUGUUCAAGCAAGAGCCCCAGCCUUAGGACAGGUCAUAUCGUCGUGCUUUCACUCCACUGACACAUCCCUACUCAAGUCCUGUUUUUUUCUCUCAUGUUUUCCUUGGCAGUCUCUCCUUCAUCAUGGUGCUUCUGACUCCGAUAGAGGGCAAACAAAUCAAGACAAAAAGUCAAGUCAGGAGCUAUUGAUGGAUAGCUGCUGUGGGCCUGCUCUGUGCCAGGUAUUAUGAGUGUUAUAGAAGGAGAAACCGCAAUGUGUCCUUUGCUGUGAUCUGCUCAGGAGGCUAGCCUCAAGCACCUGUCACUUCCUUGCUGGGUGACAGUGGGGUCGAUGGCUGGAGGAAGAAAUGAGAGGAUCUCCAUACCGAGGCCUUGGCUUCUACGUCCUUUCUCGAAGUGUUUGGAGUGCAGAUUUCUGAUUCUGUGCCCAGCCUCCAGGGACACAGUACACAGUAUACUGGGAAUGAUGGUCCAGUCAAUAUCUGGCUCGUUGAACACUUGUAUAGAUCACCCUCAGUGAAUAGAGAUAUUUGGUUUCAAGAUGCCCAGCUCUGUGCCUGGAUUUCUGCCUUCUCACUUCUCACUGUGUUUGGCCAAUGGAGGAUACCAGCAGAUGAUCCCAGGAAGGAGGUGAGUGAGGAUGGGUACAUCUUCCCCUGCUUCUCUGCUUAUGGGAUCAUUGUAAGCUGGCUGACACCCUUGAUGGAAAACCAGAGCUCUUUCUGUCUCCAGAUUUCUUGUUCUUAGGGUCCUGCACCACCCCCUGGGGCUUCCCUAUGCUCUGCCCUCUCCUUUAUGAGUGGUGCAUCUACAAACGCUCCUCACUGACCCUAGGUGAGAACCUGACUUAGUGAGGCGGGAGUCUCCCAGAAUCUUUGUGCCACAGGAUUAAGACAUUAAGAGUGAUUCCAAUCUCUGUAUCAUGGGUGGGAAAGGGGCUUCCAAAAUAUUUUCAAGCACUGGAGGACCCCUUCCUGCAACCCUCAUUGGGCCAUAUGCCCAGGCAACUCCCAUCAGGAAGAAAGCAGGAGCCUCUUGGGGCCAUUUUUCCACCUCCCAGGUUAUAUCUUAAGGAGGUAAGGUUUGCAAGUUGCUGAGCACAAGGCCCACAGUGAAUACUCAUUGAAUGUUUUCUAUCAUUUUUAUUAUCACUAUGUUUGGAAUAUGGCAAUACUCCAUCUCUACCAAAAAAACUAAAUUAAUCAGUCAGAAGUGGGUGGCAUGGGCCUGUAGUGGAAGGUGCCACGUAUUUUCUGCUGGGACCCUGACUGGGACACAGAGCCCAGGACCUUUGACUGAUUGAGGAUCUUAGUUACAGGACUCAGCCUUGAGUCCCUGUGAGGAUCCUCUUUCUUCCAAAAGAUUCUCUACAAAGAGGUCACACCCACUGUGCCCCAGCGCCUGAAAUGGAAUGGAAAUUGCAUAGUUAAUAAGGUUACAUCUUUUUCAUUCCAUGAUGGUUCAGGGCCUUCAAAAAAACACAUUGAUUAUUUUUCUCCUUAUUCAUAUUUUCCUCUUUAUAGAUGUCAGUUUUCAGAAAAAGGAAUAUCCAGAGUCCUAAAACCUGAAAAUAAGGAUGCACUUUUUG